UACAAUGCAGAAAUACCAUAUCCCGCCUGUGUUACAAUUGCCUUUUUAGAAUAUUACUUUCUUAUGUCGACUUUUUUCUGGCUAAGUGCCAUGAGCUUUAAUAUGUGGUGGACAUUCAGAAAAUUCUCUUCGUUACAAAAAAAGGU